GAAUUCUGUUGCUUCUCAACAGGGCAACCAAAUCUCUGUAGUUAGAUCUAAGGUCCAAGAGAUAUUUCGGGAUGUCUUUAAAUAUCUCCACACUUGACUGAUGUAUUUCCAAGGUCUUCUGGAAAUGCAGACUCAAUAUUUUGUCUCUCUCCUCUUUUGUUUGGAGGGUAAUCAAACAGUCUCUCACCCUGUUCUUCCCCCCUCUUCCAAGCCUAAAUGCACUCACUAUCUUAAAUUCUUCCUUCUCCAAAUCUGGUUUCCAAAAGUCUGCAAAUUCCUGCGUAAGGAAGUCAAUCAGGUUGUCUUUCUCAAGUUCAGGCACAGCCCUGAUCCUCAGAUUCGUUUGUUUCUCUUUCAAUUAAAUCAUAGACAACAUCGACCUGUGGUCCUCUAAUUGUCUUUCUAUAGGUGGUAUCUUCUCCUCUACAGAAACUGCUUUUUCCUUAGCUUCUUCAGCUGUCUGUCGGGUCAAGGUAGAUUCCUGUAGCAAUUUCUCAAUAGUUUCUGUGUUAGUAUUCACCUUCUGUCCCAGAUUAUUAAUACUUGUGGUGUUUUGAUCAAUUUUAGUUGAUGCUUCAGCUACUUGUUUACUUAACUUUUCCAAAGAUUCAUUUAUUCUUCCUAGUGCAAGUGCUAAAACAUCUUCAGAAGCCAUUACUUUUGACUUAGGUUGUACAGAUGCUGCUGCUAAUGGAGCAGAAGGGCCAGAUGUUGAUGCUCUUCACUGCCAGGAUUUACCAGACCUCGUUGUUUUUUCUUGAAGCAAAUCUAUCUUUUCUUUCCCAUCUGCCAUAACACUCUAACUGCAGCCCAAGGUAAAUCCCAUGUUUAGAGUUUGUUUUGAAGUGGAAAAUUCCCCUGGCUCAGUUGUUGUAACAAUUUCAAACUUCCUCUAGGGGGACACAGUAACAGUCAAGACUUGUUGCAUUAAAAAAUAACUCUUUUUAAAACCCCCAUUUCACAAAAUAAGCAACAGUUUCAAAUUCAGUUACUUUCAGUCACUUUAAAAUCAGGAGAAGCCAGCCGGGAACAAUGUAUCUCUCUUGCAGAAUUAGCUGUCAAAAAGUACUCUAUUCACAAAAAGCGCAUUUCACAAAGCGGCAGUCUUAUCGUCCAUUGGCAGCCCGUUCCCAGGUUUUAAGCGGUGGAUUUUUAUUUCCUUCCCUCUUUUUUGCAGGAAAAUACAGUUCAAUCCUUUCCCCCCUCCUCUCCUGCUGCCAAGGGGGGAAAUCACUUGUUUUGAUGUUCGAAUUAUAGUCCUUCCCAAUCGACUUCCCAAUCAACAACUCAUAUUCUAACUACAGUAACCAUUUUAGGAAAGGGACAAUGGGCACAACUUGUGACCCACCAAGAAAAAUUCAGCCCCCCCAUCCUUUUAUGUACUGUAGUUUGCCAGUGUCUCAGAGGUGUGUCCAUAUAAGUUCUACUCAGAGUGCACCCAUUGAAAAUGAUGGACAUAAUUUACUCUUCAUUAUAUUCAGUUGGUCUUCUCUGAGUAGGACGAGCAUUGGAUACAAUCCUCUGUUUCACCAUCUCAGACAAGCAGCAGAAACAGAGGCAUCGUGUUUCUGUCAUUCUUGCUGAGCACUCUCACCCCUUACAGCUUUUGGCUCAGGAUAUCCAGAAUGUCAUUUUAUUUGGAGUGCUGACUGACACAAUUUGAAGGAGGAAUAUUGGAGUGUGGUGGGCAGUCUUUUUAAAAAACAGAAUCACAUGAGACUUAGAGUUGUAAGGUACCUUAGAGGCAAUUUAGUCCACCUAUUAGUGUAAUUGACUGUGAAUGUGUGCACUAAUGGGAACUUUAAUUAAAGUAGCUUUGAUUUGGAGGGAUUUGUUAAAUUUAAACUGAGUAGAGCAUUUAAUUCAAUUCUGUUGGAAUAACGCUUUCAAGCUGGGGAAAAUGUUGUUUUUGUUGUCGACGGAAAAAUGCUAAUGGAAGUAUGAAUGUUUAAUACCUAAUGCUGCUCUUGCUGCUGCCCAGCUGACUGAGGCAAUUCCGCGUUGAUGUACGUUCUGUUUGUGUGCAUGUGUGGUGCCAGGUCCCCAGAAGUGGUCCCUGGAAACGCGGAGCAGCUCUUAGCCGAGCCCCGCCAUCCCUCCCUGCGUCUGUCAGCUGUGGAAGCUCCACCCCCACCCCCCGGCUUGCAGGAGAUGAAGGAAUGGCAGAACAGAACCCCUGGGCAAAUGGGGAGUCACUUGUACAUACCCAGCAAGUUUCUUAAGUGGACAACAGUAAUACCUCUUGGGGGCUGGCAGAGCCUGGAGUGCUGCAACAAGUGUCGCCGCUGGAAUGGGAGGAUCACAGUGUCCUGGAGUUCGCUGACCAUCUCAUCCAGGCCUGCAAUGUCCUUCCAAGUUACCUGUAGGUGGGACAAGCUGUGAGCAGUUGGCAGAUAACAAAGGGACUAACAAAGAUUAGAGAGCCUCAAAACUCUCUUGUGUUUUGUCAAGAGGAGCAGCAGCCUGGCCACCUACCUUGAUAUCCUUUGGAACCA